AUUGAACGCUGGCGGCAGGCCUAACACAUGCAAGUCGAGCGAGCGGCGGACGGGUGAGAAGUGCCUGGGAAUUGCCCAGUCGAGGAGGAUAACAUGUGGAAACGACUGCUAAUAACGCAUACGAUUGGAUGGCCAAGUUGGGAUUAGCUAGUUGGUGAGGUAAUGGCUCACCAAGGAGACGAUCCCUAGAUGGUCUGAGAGGAUGAUCAGCCACACUGGAACGGUGAAAGUGUACAGCCACCUACGGGAUGCAGCAGGGGGUAAGAUUGCAUAAUGGGGGAAACCUUGAUGCAGCCAUGCCGCGGGUGUGAAGAAGGCUUUCGGAUUGUAACGCACUUUCAGCGAGGAGGCGUUACUCGCAGAAGAAGCACCGGCUAACUCCGUGCCAGCAGCCACGGUAAUAC
rnacentral:rRNA from 1 species